GAGGAAAGAGGGAGGUGUGAAUAAUACAUGCAAGUCGAGCGAACGGACGAGAAGCUUGCUUUUCUGAUGUUAGCGGCGGACGGGUGAGUAACACGUGGAUAACCUACCUAUAAGACUGGGAUAACUUCGGGAAACCGGAGCUAAUACCGGAUAAUAUUUUGAACCGCAUGGUUCAAAAGUGAAAGACGGUCUUGCUGUCACUUAUAGAUGGAUCCGCGCUGCAUUAGCUAGUUGGUAAGGUAACGGCUUACCAAGGCAACGAUGCAUAGCCGACCUGAGAGGGUGAUCGGCCACACUGGAACUGAGACACGGUCCAGACUCCUACGGGAGGCAGCAGUAGGGAAUCUUCCGCAAUGGGCGAAAGCCUGACGGAGCAACGCCGCGUGAGUGAUGAAGGUCUUCGGAUCGUAAAACUCUGUUAUUAGGGAAGAACAUAUGUGUAAGUAACUGUGCACAUCUUGACGGUACCUAAUCAGAAAGCCACGGCUAACUACGUG
rnacentral:rRNA from 1 species